UACAGAGGGGGCAAGCGUUGUUCGGAAUUACUGGGCGUAAAGGGCUCGUAGGCGGCCAACUAAGUCAGACGUGAAAUCCCUCAGCUUAACUGGGGAACUGCGUCUGAUACUGGAUGGCUUGGAUCCGGAAGAGGGAUGCGGAAUUCCAGGUGUAGCGGUGAAAUGCGUAGAUAUCUGGAGGAACACCGGUGGCGAAGGCGGCAUCCUGGGCCGGUAUUGACGCUGAGGAGCGAAAGCCAGGGGAGCAAACGGG
rnacentral:rRNA from 1 species